GUACGUAGCAGAGCAGCUCCCUCGCUGC
rnacentral:piRNA from 7 species